rnacentral:rRNA from 1 species
GAUGAACGCUGGCGGCGUGCCUAAUACAUGCAAGUCGAACGAAACUUCUUUAUCACCGAGUGCUUGCACUCACCGAUAAAGAGUUGAGUGGCGAACGGGUGAGUAACACGUGGGCAACCUGCCCAAAAGAGGGGUAUAACACUUGGAAACAGGUGCUAAUACCGCAUAACCAUAGUUACCGCAUGGUAACUAUGUAAAAGGUGGCUAUACUACCGCUUUUGGAUGGGCCCGCGGCGCAUUAGCUAGUUGGUAGGGUAAAGGCUUACCAAGGCAAUGAUGCGUAGCCGAAUUGAGAGGUUGAUCGGCCACAUUGGGACUGAGACACGGCCCAAACUCCUACGGGAGGCAGCAGUAGGGAAUCUUCCACAAUGGGCGAAAGCCUGAUGGAGCAACGCCGCGUGGGUGAAGAAGGUCUUCGGAUCGUAAAACCCUGUUGUUAGAGAAGAAAGUGCGUGAGAGUAACUGUUCACGUUUCGACGGUAUCUAACCAGAAAGCCACGGCUAACUACGUG